UACGGAGGAUGCAAGCGUUAUCCGGAUUUAUUGGGCGUAAAGCGUCCGCAGGUGGUUGUUCAAGUCUGCUGUUAAAGCGCGAGGCUUAACCUUGUACAGGCGGUGGAAACUGAGCGACUAGAGUAUGGUAGGGGUAGCGGGAAUUCCCAGUGUAGCGGUGAAAUGCGUAGAUAUUGGGAAGAACACCAGCGGCGAAAGCGCGCUACUGGGCCAUUACUGACACUCAUGGACGAAAGCUAGGGGAGCGAAAGGG
rnacentral:rRNA from 1 species